rnacentral:rRNA from 1 species
UGCAGUCGAGCGCCCGCAGGGGAGCGGCAGACGGGUGAGUAACGCGUGGGAAUCUACCCAUCACUACGGAACAACUCCGGGAAACUGGAGCUAAUACCGUAUACGUCCUUCGGGAGAAAGAUUUAUCGGUGAUGGAUGAGCCCGCGUUGGAUUAGCUAGUUGGUGGGGUAAUGGCCUACCAAGGCGACGAUCCAUAGCUGGUCUGAGAGGAUGAUCAGCCACACUGGGACUGAGACACGGCCCAGACUCCUACGGGAGGCAGCAGUGGGGAAUAUUGGACAAUGGGCGCAAGCCUGAUCCAGCCAUGCCGCGUGAGUGAUGAAGGCCCUAGGGUUGUAAAGCUCUUUCAACGGUGAAGAUAAUGACGGUAACCGUAGAAGAAGCCCCGGCUAACUUCGUGCCAGCAGCCGCGGUAAUACGAAGGGGGCUAGCGUUGUUCGGAUUUACUGGGCGUAAAGCGCACGUAGGCGGAUUGUUAAGUUAGGGGUGAAAUCCCAGGGCUCAACCCUGGAACUGCCUUUAAUACUGGCAAUCUCGAGUCCGGAAGAGGUGAGUGGAAUUCCGAGUGUAGAGGUGAAAUUCGUAGAUAUUCGGAGGAACACCAGUGGCGAAGGCGGCUCACUGGUCCGGUACUGACGCUGAGGUGCGAA